rnacentral:rRNA from 1 species
AUGUUAAUCGGGGGGGAUUUCAACAUCCUUCGAUAUCAGCAGGAAAAAAACAACGAUCGGGUUGACACUAGGUGGCCUUUCCUCUUUAAUGCUGUUAUUGACAGCCUCGACCUGAGGGAGAUCACGAUGUCUGGUCGUCAGUAUACCUGGGCCAACAACCGUUCGGUGCCGACCUUUGAAAAACUGGACCGGGUGCUAGUUACCACUGACUGGGAAUACAAAUAUCCCUAG